AGUGAACGCUGGCGGCAGGCCUAACACAUGCAAGUCGAGCGGCAGCGCGGUGGCAACCCUGGCGGCGAGCGGCGGAGGGGUGGGCAAUUCGUCGGAAUCUGCCUUUUUGCGUUUUAGAACGGAGUGAAACUGACGCUAAUACCGCAUACGUCCUACGGGAGAAAGGGGGGGACCACAAGGUCUUACGCACUAACAUGAUCCGACGACCGAUUAGCUAGUUGGCGGGGUAAAGGCCCACCAAGGCGACGAUCGGUAGCUGGUCUGAGAGGAUGAUCAGCCACACUGGAACUGAGACACGGCCCAGACUCCUACGGGAGGCAGCAGUGGGGAAUAUUGGACAAUGGGCGCAAGCCUGAUCCAGCCAUGCCGCGUGUGUGAAGAAGGCCUUCGGGUUGUAAAGCACUUUUGUCGGGAAAGAAAUGCAUCGAGCUAAUACCUUCGGGGGAUGACGGUACCGGAAGAAUAAGCACCGGCUAACUUCGUG
rnacentral:rRNA from 1 species